rnacentral:lncRNA from 1 species
UGCUGCUACAGUUGGUGCUGGCCUGCCCGCGGAGCCCCAGCCCCGGAGCCCCUGCCGCGGCCCAGCUGGCAGCCAUGGCGGCAGCCCUCGCCUUCAGCCUGAGCCGCGGUCGCCCCGCAGCCCAUCUCCAAGCAGCCUGCUCCGUCCUGGAUUCCGCCAUCUCUGUCCCAGCACGCCUCCCUGAGGUUCCAGAAAGCCCUCCGAGUCAGGCUAUGGAUACCCAAUGCUAGUGUAGCAUCCACAGGCCCACCGGGGCUUUUCACGACCCAGGCCCUCAACUCCCACACGGCCCGCGGCGCAGGCCUGGCCUGGGAGAGGCCCUCAUCCCCGGACCACCACAGCCAAGGAGCCUGAGCACACCCAAGGCUCCAGGGCCCAGACGUCUUCUUGGAAGUGGCAGGCCUCAGUUUCCCUGUGUGCAGAAGGGCCAUAAAGGAGAUUCAGAAGUAUCUGACUCUAAUAAACGUCCACGUAAGGCAUCAGUUCACUUCUCCUAGUCACGAAAGAGAGUGCACAUGGAUUAGGAGAUUUCCUGUUCUUUUGGCUGAUGGUUUUUGGAGCGCUGAGUUGCCAGAGAGAUGUCGUUCAAACAGAAGACAGUUCAGUGAAUAUGCAGUUCAGUGGCGUGGUUAAACAGCCGGACUAAACCCCAUUUCCCAGUCUCUGCUGCCCUCUGCUGCCCAGCACUGGCUGGGACGUGCCGAUGCAAAGUCUGGUGCUGGGCGUCGCUGAACCACGUUCUAGGGGUUCUCUCUUUACCCGCAGGGAACCUGAGGCUCAGAGUGGACAGUGAUUUCCUCUAGGCCACACAGCAAGUCAGCAGGGCUGCUGCCUCCCCAUCAGCCCGGCAGAGUCCUCGGGCUCACCGAUCCUCCUGGCGCCCGGACCGGCAGCAUCAGCAGCCCCUGGGAACAGGCUAGAAAGGCAGCUUCCUGGGCCCCACCUCGACCUCCUGCAUCGGAAACUGUGGGUGGGGCUCAGCUCCCAGCAUUUUAGGACACGCUCCAGGGGAUUCACGAAGCACACUCCAGAUGAGAAUGGUUGCUGUCUCUUUGGAAGUAGAAUUCCGGAGGAGGAAUAGACCUUUUCUUCUUUUUUCUUUUUUAAUCAUAUUGUGCAUCUUUAAAAUAAAAAUAACACAUGGG